rnacentral:rRNA from 1 species
AGGGAAAGGUGAAAAGUACUCCAGCGAGGAGAGUGAAAUAGAACCUGAAACCAUUAGCUUACAAUCAUUCAGAGCCCUAUGAUUUAUCAGGGUGAUGGACUGCCUUUUGCAUAAUGAGCCUGCGAGUUGUGGUAUCUGGCAAGGUUAAGUCAAGUACGAAGCCGUAGCGAAAGCGAGUCUUAAUAGGGCGAAUUAGUCAGAUGCUGCAGACCCGAAACGAAGUGAUCUAUCCAUGAGCAGGUUGAAGCUGGUGUAAGAGCCAGUGGAGGACCGAACCCGCAGGCGUUGAAAAGUCUUGGGAUGACUUGUGGAUAGGGGUGAAAGGCCAAUCAAACUUCGUGAUAGCUGGUUCUCUCCGAAAUAUAUUUAGGUAUAGCCUUGUGUUGUAGCAUAUGGGGGUAGAGCACUGAAUGGGCUAGGGCUGCUUACCGCGGUACCAAACCCUAUCAAACUAUGAAUACUAUAUGUGGAAUCACAGGAGUCAGGCGGUGGGUGAUAAAAUCAAUCGUCGAGAGGGGAACAACCCAGACUAACAGCUAAGGUCCCUAAGUUACAUCUAAGUGGAAAACGAUGUGGAGUUACUGUGACAACCAGGAGGUUGGCUUAGAAGCAGCCAUCCUUUAAAGAAAGCGUAACAGCUCACUGGUCUAGUGAUUCUGCGCGGAAAAUAUAACGGGGCUAAGAUGUACACCGAAGCUUUAGAUUCAAUUUUUAAUUGAGUGGUAGGAGAGCGUUCUAUUCAGCGUAGAAGAUGUACCGGUAAGGAGCGUUGGAGCGGAUAGAAGUGAGCAUGCAGGCAUGAGUAGCGAUAAUUGAGGUGAGAAUCCUCAACGCCGAAAACCCAAGGUUUCCUACGCGAUGCUCGUCAUCGUAGGGUUAGUCGGGACCUAAGUCGAGUCCGAAAGGGGUAGACGAUGGCAAAUUGAUUAAUAUUUCAAUACCAACAUAUAAGCGCGAUGUGGGGACGCAUAGAGUUAAUCGAGGUCACUGAUGGAAUAGUGGCUCGAAGGACGUAGGCUGUUAAGUAGGCAAAUCCGCUUAACAUUAGGCCGAGAUCUUACAGGCUCUUGACACUCUUCGGAGGAGAUGGAGAAUCGAUGAUACUGUCGUGCCAAGAAAAGCCACUAAGUUUAUUAUAUGUUGCCCGUACCGUAAACCGACACAGGUGGGUGGGAUGAGUAUUCUAAGGCGCGUGGAAGAACCCUGGUUAAGGAACUCUGCAAACUAGCACCGUAUCUUCGGUAUAAGGUGUGCCUACUUUUGUAUAUGAACUUGCUUCAAAAAGCGAAAGAGGUUGCAACAAAGAGUCCCUCCCGACUGUUUACCAAAAACACAGCACUUUGCUAACACGUAAGUGGAUGUAUAAGGUGUGACGCCUGCCCGGUGCUCGAAGGUUAACUGAUGAUGUCAGCGCAAGCGAAGCAUUUGAUUGAAGCCCGAGUAAACGGCGGCCGUAACUAUAACGGUCCUAAGGUAGCGAAAUUCCUUGUCGGUUAAAUACCGACCUGCAUGAAUGGCGUAACGAGAUGGGAGCUGUCUCAACCAGGGAUCCAGUGAAAUUGUAGUGGAGGUGAAAAUUCCUCCUACCCGCGGAAAGACGGAAAGACCCCGUGCACCUUU